rnacentral:lncRNA from 1 species
AGAGAGUUGUGCUGGUAUGCUUAUGGAAGCACGACGGCCUCCGUGCUUCCAAGUUGUUUUCGAUGUUCGGACUUUCGAAUUAACGAUCGGCUCCGUUAGAAUUGAUCUAGAGUAUUUGAAGUACCUAGAAAAUAAAUUUUGUAAUUUUUCGAUAUCAUUUGCCUAGUGAUCGAAGGGGCUCAAAAUUAAUAAUUUUAAUGACCGUGGUGAGCCGGUUGCAAGUUUAACGGUGUAGA